rfam:Tenacibaculum sp. LPB0136, complete genome.
AUUAAUAACAAAGGUCGCGAACCUUAAAAAUUAAA